AGCAUCACCCUGAGCACGGAUGAAGCCGCAAAGGGCGAAGGUAGUGAACUGGCCGGUGUAAACCCCGCUCUCAUCCAAAUGCCCGAUGUUGAUCUGGACCGCCGCAUGAUCCUUCGCGGUGAUGAGCCUGUUCGUCGCGGAACACUUCCUCGGGAUGUAGAGAUCCAUCAUCUGUCCCUCCUCGUUCUGCAUCUUCUCCGAUUGAUCGGUUGCGCAACACGAUCUGGGUGAUGUAACUGAGAAAGAUAUUAGAAAUCGAUGCGGCAAAUCAAGGGAGCGG
rnacentral:misc_RNA from 1 species